CAGUAGCCGCGGUAAUACGAAGGGGGCUAGCGUUGCUCGGAAUGACUGGGCGUAAAGGGCGCGUAGGCGGCGAUCAAAGUCAGGCGUGAAAUUCCUGGGCUCAACCUGGGGGCUGCGCUUGAUACUUGGUUGCUUGAGUGGGGAAGAGGGUCGUGGAAUUCCCAGUGUAGAGGUGAAAUUCGUAGAUAUUGGGAAGAACACCGGUGGCGAAGGCGGCGACCUGGUCCUUGACUGACGCUGAGGCGCGAAAGCGUGGGGAGCAAAUAGGAUUAGAUACCCCCGUAGUCCCUGUCUCUUAUAU
rnacentral:rRNA from 1 species